UGCUAUGGAAAUCUGCUUACCUCUGCUUA
rnacentral:piRNA from 1 species